rnacentral:tRNA from 1 species
AUGGGUAAACACUAGACCGUUAGACUCAUAACCUGAAGGUCGUAGGUUCAAAUCCUACU